rnacentral:lncRNA from 1 species
GGCUUUUCAGAAGCGACGACGGUUAGAACAAAUAGAAGAUCUGAAAGAAGCAUAUGAUAGUUUCAAAGCAACUUAAGAUUGUUGACAGUCCGGAGGUACAGAUAUUCAACAUAUGUCAACAUUCGAGCCUGUUCAAACUUGUGUUGAGUCUGGCAGUGGAAAACACCAUUUCGAGUGUCAGGUGUCAUUGGCAGUUCCCAAGGCAAAAAUACAUCUUCGCACAAGACGGAUUCAGACAUUACCCGUCCGAAGACUCACAAGAUGCAUUCAGGCAAGACCACUGACCAAGACCGUGGC